CAACCUGCCUGUUACCACGGCACAGCCCGUCGAAAGGCGGAUUAAUGCCGUAUGUGGUCCUUUGCGGGCAUCUAAUUAGGACUGAAGGUUUUGCGGUAACAGAUGGGGAUGCGUCCGAUUAGCUAGACGGCGGGGUAACGGCCCACCGUGGCUACGAUCGGUAGGGGUUCUGAGAGGAAGGUCCCCCACACUGGGACUGAGACACGGUCCAGACUCCUACGGGAGGCAGCAGUGAGGAAUAUUGGUCAAUGGGCGUAAGCCUGAACCAGCCAAGUAGCGUGAGGGAAGACUGCCCUAUGGGUUGUAAACCUCUUUUGUGCGGGGAUAAAGUGAGGGACGUGUCCCUUAUUGCAGGUACCGCACGAAUAAGGACCGGCUAAUUCCGUGCCAGCAGCCGCGGUAAUACGGAAGGUCCGGGCGUUAUCCGGAUUUAUUGGGUUUAAAGGGAGCGCAGGCCGUCCUUUAAGCGUGCUGUGAAAUGCCGCGGCUCAACCGUGGCACUGCAGCGUGAACUGGAGGACUUGAGUACGCACGAGGUAGGCGGAAUUCGUGGUGUAGCGGUGAAAUGCUUANGUAUCACGAAGAACUCCGAUUG
rnacentral:rRNA from 1 species